rnacentral:rRNA from 1 species
UACGGAGGAUCCGAGCGUUAUCCGGAUUUAUUGGGUUUAAAGGGUGCGCAGGCGGGAUGUUAAGUCGGCGGUGAAAUUUUGCAGCUCAACUGUAAAAGUGCCUUCGAUACUGGCUUCCUUGAGUGUGGAUGAAGUAGGCGGAAUUUGUGGUGUAGCGGUGAAAUGCUUAGAUAUCACGAGGAACUCCGAUUGCGCAGGCAGCUUACUAAACUACUACUGACGCUCAGGCACGAAGGCGUGGGGAUCAAACAGGAUUAGAUACCCCGGUAGU